UACGUAGGGUCCGAGCGUUGUCCGGAAUUACUGGGCGUAAAGAGCUCGUAGGUGGUUUGUCGCGUUGUUCGUGAAAACUCACAGCUCAACUGUGGGCGUGCGGGCGAUACGGGCAGACUUGAGUACUGCAGGGGAGACUGGAAUUCCUGGUGUAGCGGUGGAAUGCGCAGAUAUCAGGAGGAACACCGGUGGCGAAGGCGGGUCUCUGGGCAGUAACUGUCGCUGAGGAGCGAAAGCGUGGGGAGCGAACAGG
rnacentral:rRNA from 1 species